CCUGGUUGUUGUGUCCCUGGCUGUUUCAAUAGCAAUAAGAAAGGUUUUUCCUUAAGGCGGUUUCCUGCAAAUUUAGAACGGCAAACAUUAUAGCUGGAAAAGAUAGGCAAAAAAAAUUGGCAACCUUCUCAAUGUUCUUAUAUUUGUGAAAUUCACUUUUGAAAGGACAUGUGGGAAAAGCCUAGAGUUGAUG